AGAGUUUGAUCCUGGCUCAGGAUGAACGCUGGCGGCAUGCCUAAUACAUGCAAGUCGAACGAGAUGAGAAGAAGCUUGCUUCUUUGAAUCUAGUGGCGAACGGGUGAGUAACACGUAGGUAACCUGCCCAUGUGCCCGGGAUAACUUCUGGAAACGGAUGCUAAAACCGGAUAGGUAGCAGACAAGCAUUUGACUGCUAUUAAAGUGGCCUUGGCCAUGAACAUGGAUGGACCUGCGGUGCAUUAGCUAGUUGGUGAGGUAACGGCCCACCAAGGCGACGAUGCAUAGCCGGCCUGAGAGGGCGGACGGCCACAUUGGGACUGAGACACGGCCCAAACUCCUACGGGAGGCAGCAGUAGGGAAUUUUCGUCAAUGGGGGGAACCCUGAACGAGCAAUGCCGCGUGAGUGAGGAAGGUCUUCGGAUCGUAAAGCUCUGUUGUAAGAGAAAAACGGCACUCAUAGGGAAUGAUGAGUGAGUGAUGGUAUCUUACCAGAAAGUCACGGCUAACUACGUGCCAGCAGCCGCGGUAAUACGUAGGUGGCGAGCGUUAUCCGGAAUGAUUGGGCGUAAAGGGUGCGUAGGUGGCAGAUCAAGUCUGGAGUAAAAGGUAUGGGCUCAACCCGUACUGGCUCUGGAAACUGAUCAGCUAGAGAACAGAAGAGGACGGCGGAACUCCAUGUGUAGCGGUAAAAUGCGUAGAUAUAUGGAAGAACACCGGUGGCGAAGGCGGCCGUCUGGUCUGGAUUCUGACACUGAAGCACGAAAGCGUGGGGAGCAAAUAGGAUUAGAUACCCUAGUAGUCCACGCCGUAAACGAUGAGAACUAGGUGUUGGGGGAAUAACUCAGUGCCGCAGUUAACGCAGUAAGUUCUCCGCCUGGGGAGUAUGCACGCAAGUGUGAAACUCAAAGGAAUUGACGGGGGCCCGCACAAGCGGUGGAGUAUGUGGUUUAAUUCGAAGCAACGCGAAGAACCUUACCAGGCCUUGACAUCCCUUGCAGAGGUAUAGAGAUAUAUCCGAGGUUAUCAAGGAGACAGGUGGUGCAUGGUUGUCGUCAGCUCGUGUCGUGAGAUGUUGGGUUAAGUCC
rnacentral:rRNA from 1 species